UGCGGCAACAUUGAUGCCUUGAGGUGGCCUGUGUGGGUUUAUUGACCGGUUGCGUUCACCGAUUGCCUUCGGUUGCCUGAGGGUGAAUAUGAAUGAAGCAAUAGCUUCAAACAUUUAUCAGUAGUGAUGGCGAACGGCAGGCUUUAAAAAAAGCUUCGUUACUUGAUUAUUUAUACAGAAUUUUUUUAAUUUGAAAAGAGCUAGAAGAAACGCUGCGCUACAGCUGCUAUUCUUGGUCUAUGUAAAGAUGUUUUUUUUACUUCCUUUUGCGGCUUACACGAGUUAAAAUCCUUGACUGAUCGAUGGGUUUUCUAUCAUUGUAAUGUACUCACCAUGUUGAUGCACACUGUAACGUGACACAUCAUAUCGAAAGGGGAAUGAAAACGAACAAGAUCCCAAAAACAACGCAAAGGAAAAAAAGCAACGAUAAGGAGGUGCAUGACAUCACACUUUCUUUUUCUCUCUGUCGCGUUCGCGCAAAAACUGUUAUGGCAGCAAACGAAGUUGUCCAGUUAUUAUUCCGACCCAUAAUUACAGAUGUAUUUUUAGAGAAGCAAUGUCUGAUUAGUUAUUCCAUUUAGGUGCUGCAUACUGCGUUAUGAGUGACUUCUUUGCUUGCUAUUAGUUAACGCGGCUUAGAAUAUAAUUAUCAAUGCCCUUUAAUAUUCUUGAACCGUUAUGACUGUAAUAAUUUAUUUCUCGUAAUCCGCUGCUGGGUUAUAUAUGGAUGUGAUAUAUUCAGUCAAAAAUGAUUUCCACGCUUCUGUCAUCUAGGCACUAGACAUUCUAACUGAACUAUGUACUUAAAAUUCUAUAAGGAUGCAAUAGGUUCCUGAAGUAAUGGAUGUACCGCUACAACAAAAUGCAGAAGAAAACUAGGAAUGCAAACUGCAAUUUAUAUAUCCUAAUAAGCACACCCCGAGUUUUUGGGCUUAGAAGAGAUGGC
rnacentral:lncRNA from 1 species